rnacentral:rRNA from 1 species
GACAGAGGUGCCAAGCGUUAGGCGGAAUCACUGGGCUUAAAGCGUGUGUAGGCGGAUGCCUAAGUACCUUGUGAAAUCCCCCGGCUCAACCGGGGAACGGCUGGGUAUACUGGGUGUCUUGGGUCAUCUAGGGGCUGCCGGAACAAAUGGUGGAGCGGUGAAAUGCGUAGAUAUCAUUUGGAACGCCAACGGCGAAAGCAGGCAGCUGGGGAUGCACCGACGCUGAGACACGAAAGCCAGGGGAGCGAACGGG